ensembl:lncRNA
AAGUGAAGUCAGGCAGGAGGAAAGAUGGCUGAUCUGGUGCUCAGCAAGCCAUUCCUGAGCCGUAUAGAUAUUAUCCCAUGAAAACACCUGGAAGAGUACUUUCUAACAGAGCAGCCGCCUUCUUAGUGAUGACCAUGACGAUGAUGGUGGUAUUCUUUACCAUUCAUUGAACACUGGCUACAUUCCCGGCACUGUUCAAGAUGCUGGGAGCGUGACUGAUACCGUUAAGCGGGAGAGACAGAUUAUAAACAUAAUAAACAGUAAAUAGCUACUAUUUCCUAAGGACUUAACUAUGUUCCGAGAACAUUUUACAUACAUUAUUUCACAACUGCCCUGCACAGGAGAUGGCAUUCUCCCCAUUUUACAUGUAAGGAAACUGAGGCUUAGAGAAGGUGACUGCCCACGAUCACCCAAUUAGAAGACGAAAUCAGUGCGUCUACUCCAGGACCCCCGCUAGCUGCUUCUGACUCGGGGCAGGACCAACAUUCCCUUGGAAGGCGAGGCCACAGUGAGGAUUCACAAGGCCCAGGACAAUGAUGAGCUCGCCGGUGAAACUGCUGAGGUCAGUUUUCCUGGAGGCCCCAGUGAGAUAUAGUCUGCACCACCCAUCGCCAUGGACCCCAGGCUUCAAUCAGGUGCGGUAUCCAUGGAGGCACUGUGCACCCCGCUACUCUCAGCUUAUCGAGUCCUUGUGAAUGUGGUAAGUCAGCACUAGGUCUGAACUCUCUCACUGCAUUGAGUUCCUUGGCUAUUUAUUGUCAGUUUGGUACCAGGUUUUGUUAUGGGUUCCAUUUACUUGGCAUCCUUG